GGGUUGUGAGGUUAAGCGACUAAGCGUACACGGUGGAUGCCCUGGCAGUCAGAGGCGAUGAAGGACGUGCUAAUCUGCGAUAAGCGUCGGUAAGGUGAUAUGAACCGUUAUAACCGGCGAUUUCCGAAUGGGGAAACCCAGUGUGUUUCGACACACUAUCAUUAACUGAAUCCAUAGGUUAAUGAGGCGAACCGGGGGAACUGAAACAUCUAAGUACCCCGAGGAAAAGAAAUCAACCGAGAUUCCCCCAGUAGCGGCGAGCGAACGGGGAGGAGCCCAGAGCCUGAAUCAGUGUGUGUGUUAGUGGAAGCGUCUGGAAAGGCGCGCGAUACAGGGUGACAGCCCCGUACACAAAAAUGCACAUGCUGUGAGCUCGAUGAGUAGGGCGGGACACGUGGUAUCCUGUCUGAAUAUGGGGGGACCAUCCUCCAAGGCUAAAUACUCCUGACUGACCGAUAGUGAACCAGUACCGUGAGGGAAAGGCGAAAAGAACCCCGGCGAGGGGAGUGAAAAAGAACCUGAAACCGUGUACGUACAAGCAGUGGGAGCACGCUUAGGCGUGUGACUGCGUACCUUUUGUAUAAUGGGUCAGCGACUUAUAUUCUGUAGCAAGGUUAACCGAAUAGGGGAGCCGAAGGGAAACCGAGUCUUAACUGGGCGUUAAGUUGCAGGGUAUAGACCCGAAACCCGGUGAUCUAGCCAUGGGCAGGUUGAAGGUUGGGUAACACUAACUGGAGGACCGAACCGACUAAUGUUGAAAAAUUAGCGGAUGACUUGUGGCUGGGGGUGAAAGGCCAAUCAAACCGGGAGAUAGCUGGUUCUCCCCGAAAGCUAUUUAGGUAGCGCCUCGUGAAUUCAUCUCCGGGGGUAGAGCACUGUUUCGGCAAGGGGGUCAUCCCGACUUACCAACCCGAUGCAAACUGCGAAUACCGGAGAAUGUUAUCACGGGAGACACACGGCGGGUGCUAACGUCCGUCGUGAAGAGGGAAACAACCCAGACCGCCAGCUAAGGUCCCAAAGUCAUGGUUAAGUGGGAAACGAUGUGGGAAGGCCCAGACAGCCAGGAUGUUGGCUUAGAAGCAGCCAUCAUUUAAAGAAAGCGUAAUAGCUCACUGGUCGAGUCGGCCUGCGCGGAAGAUGUAACGGGGCUAAACCAUGCACCGAAGCUGCGGCAGCGACGCUUAUGCGUUGUUGGGUAGGGGAGCGUUCUGUAAGCCUGUGAAGGUGUACUGUGAGGUAUGCUGGAGGUAUCAGAAGUGCGAAUGCUGACAUAAGUAACGAUAAAGCGGGUGAAAAGCCCGCUCGCCGGAAGACCAAGGGUUCCUGUCCAACGUUAAUCGGGGCAGGGUGAGUCGACCCCUAAGGCGAGGCCGAAAGGCGUAGUCGAUGGGAAACAGGUUAAUAUUCCUGUACUUGGUGUUACUGCGAAGGGGGGACGGAGAAGGCUAUGUUGGCCGGGCGACGGUUGUCCCGGUUUAAGCGUGUAGGCUGGUUUUCCAGGCAAAUCCGGAAAAUCAAGGCUGAGGCGUGAUGACGAGGCACUACGGUGCUGAAGCAACAAAUGCCCUGCUUCCAGGAAAAGCCUCUAAGCAUCAGGUAACAUCAAAUCGUACCCCAAACCGACACAGGUGGUCAGGUAGAGAAUACCAAGGCGCUUGAGAGAACUCGGGUGAAGGAACUAGGCAAAAUGGUGCCGUAACUUCGGGAGAAGGCACGCUGAUAUGUAGGUGAAGUCCCUCGCGGAUGGAGCUGAAAUCAGUCGAAGAUACCAGCUGGCUGCAACUGUUUAUUAAAAACACAGCACUGUGCAAACACGAAAGUGGACGUAUACGGUGUGACGCCUGCCCGGUGCCGGAAGGUUAAUUGAUGGGGUUAGCGCAAGCGAAGCUCUUGAUCGAAGCCCCGGUAAACGGCGGCCGUAACUAUAACGGUCCUAAGGUAGCGAAAUUCCUUGUCGGGUAAGUUCCGACCUGCACGAAUGGCGUAAUGAUGGCCAGGCUGUCUCCACCCGAGACUCAGUGAAAUUGAACUCGCUGUGAAGAUGCAGUGUACCCGCGGCAAGACGGAAAGACCCCGUGAACCUUUACUAUAGCUUGACACUGAACAUUGAGCCUUGAUGUGUAGGAUAGGUGGGAGGCUUUGAAGUGUGGACGCCAGUCUGCAUGGAGCCGACCUUGAAAUACCACCCUUUAAUGUUUGAUGUUCUAACGUGGACCCGUAAUCCGGGUUGCGGACAGUGUCUGGUGGGUAGUUUGACUGGGGCGGUCUCCUCCUAAAGAGUAACGGAGGAGCACGAAGGUUGGCUAAUCCUGGUCGGACAUCAGGAGGUUAGUGCAAUGGCAUAAGCCAGCUUGACUGCGAGCGUGACGGCGCGAGCAGGUGCGAAAGCAGGUCAUAGUGAUCCGGUGGUUCUGAAUGGAAGGGCCAUCGCUCAACGGAUAAAAGGUACUCCGGGGAUAACAGGCUGAUACCGCCCAAGAGUUCAUAUCGACGGCGGUGUUUGGCACCUCGAUGUCGGCUCAUCACAUCCUGGGGCUGAAGUAGGUCCCAAGGGUAUGGCUGUUCGCCAUUUAAAGUGGUACGCGAGCUGGGUUUAGAACGUCGUGAGACAGUUCGGUCCCUAUCUGCCGUGGGCGCUGGAGAACUGAGGGGGGCUGCUCCUAGUACGAGAGGACCGGAGUGGACGCAUCACUGGUGUUCGGGUUGUCAUGCCAAUGGCACUGCCCGGUAGCUAAAUGCGGAAGAGAUAAGUGCUGAAAGCAUCUAAGCACGAAACUUGCCCCGAGAUGAGUUCUCCCUGACUCCUUGAGAGUCCUGAAGGAACGUUGAAGACGACGACGUUGAUAGGCCGGGUGUGUAAGCGCAGCGAUGCGUUGAGCUAACCGGUACUAAUGAACCGUGAGGCUUAACCUUACAACGCCGAAGCUGUU
rnacentral:rRNA from 2 species